ensembl:lncRNA
CUGGGCUGUCCUCUUCAAACAGACAGCUGCAGGCCACAUGACGCCAUCUCCUGACCUCAGUUUAGUUUCCUGGGGGCAAGAGCUGACUCAACUUCAACAGUAAUAAUGUGCUAUAUUAUCUCGAACUUUUGAGUUCAGGAAGCUGAUUUUGCUUUAAAAUGUCCACUGCCUUCCUUUCAUCGAGCUGGUGAGGCAGGCUGGCAACAGAAGCAGUGGGCCCAGAGAGGUAAAGUGGCACCCUGUCUUGGGCAAGGAUUUGGGAGGGCCCCUCCUCCAAGGAGGCCUGGGAAGCGCCCUAAUCAUCUCGGCAGCAUUGGAACAAAGCUUCGGUCAAGGUUCUGAUGACAACUCCCUCACGUCUGAUCCUACCCAAGAUGUCACCCUCGCCUCACAUAACUCCCUGCUCAGGAACCACUGUGUGGGCAGCCCUCACCCACUUUGCCCUUGCUCUCCCCAUGAGUCCCUUCCCAUUGCAUCUCCCUAGGAUUUGGGGUUCCUCCCCACUCCUCUACCCCAAGACCUACUGAAUCAGCAAGACUUGAGAACCUGUGACAAGCAGACCACGCCAGGGAUCUGCUGCACACUGAGUUUGGGAAUCAUUGAGCCAGCUGAUCUCUAAGGACUGGUUUAGCUCCAAUAUUCUAGGAUCAAGAUGUUCUGAGGGAUGGCAGGCUCCGGGGAAGAAGCACACGGCCUCCCACGUGCACAGAUGAGUUUUAAUAACCAUCGGGUCUCAGGCUUUUUACUGCAGUGAUUGUCUACCUGGGCUGCAUAUUAGAAUCAUCUGUGGGGUUUUUAAAACUCACAGAUAAUAUGGUUUCCAAGCAGAGAUGAGAUGUGUGGGUUUCUUCCCCCUCUUCUCUAAGAAGCAAAAAACCACCUUGGAAUUGCCGGCAGUGGUUCCACCCAAAGGGUACGUGUUGGUACCAGGUGUUCUCUCUGGAAAUCUCCCCAAUGAGGGUCAAUCACUUGGUGCCACAGAGGAGAGCGAGCCUUCUGAACAAAGCGGGCUGUGGAGACCUCAGGACUGACCCUGGUAACUUCCUUUAAAAGAGUAGCCUCACUGUCUGGCAAAAGGGAUGUACUCAGACCCUUUAGGCUCCAAGGAUGGUCAAAGAAAAGCUGCGGACCCCAGGGUGCAUCUCUGGGGUGAGAAGAGGAGAGUGGAGAUUCUGGCUCCACCAGCUUGUGGGGCUGGAACUGAGUCUGAAUCAGCAUCCGGGGCCAGCCAGUGUCCUGGGAGGAGGCUGUGGAGGUGAACUGCUACAUUAGGAGACCAUGUCAGGGUACCCUUGGCCAAGGUUAGCAAAGGGGGAGGUGGUGGUCCCUUCUCCAAGGGCCACAGCUGGGCAUGAAAGGCUGCCAGGAGCAUCUGGUGGGCACCAGCUGAGGAUGAGGUAGGACCAGUGUCCAACAGUGACACCAUGGGGCAGCGGGAAGUCACAGCAGAAGUAAUGCUAAGUGAUAAUAUUUCUUUGGUGUUAUUUGCCCAGCAUUGAUCUAAGUGCCUCACACUUAUUCAUUCAUUUAAUAACAAUUAAUAGCAGUUCUGUCAGGGAGUCAUUAUCACCCCCAUUGUACAGAGAAAGAAAUCAAGGCAAGGAGGUUAUACAAUUAGAGAGUUGCUGCCAGGCUGUGAACCAGGCAGUCUGGCUCCAGAGCCCACAUCCUUAACCAUUAUGCACUGCUGCCUCAAUAACAAUAACCAUAAUUUACUGAGAACUUACUAUGUCUAUUAUGUUCUCUGUGCUCUUUUAGUCUUCACCACAAUCUGACGAGGUGGGAACUGGUUUUAUUCCCAUUUUGCAGAUAAGAAAAGCGAGGCACAGGGAAGAUAAGUAGUGGUCUGCUCAUCGUCCAUUCUCGCCCCUCUGGGAAUGGAAACCGGACUCAUCCCAGCCAAUCCCACAGCUGCUCCUUCACUUUUUGGAAGUUCUAAGCCUUUAGGGUUCCCAGAAAAGUGAAGCUAGUGGAAAGCUUCGUUACGGGAUGCUGGGCUUCCUGCAACAGAACAUGUGCACUCUUUAGUGAGGAACUGGAAAAACAAAGGCCGUAUGACAAUAUUUCUACCUCCAAAUUUGUGAGAGCAGAUCAUAACAAUUUCAGGGGCCCCACCCCAGAUUUGUGGAAUCAGAAUACGUGAAGGGUGAGGCCAGGAAAUCGGAAUUAAAACAGAGCCAAAAACAAACCACAGGUGAUUCUGGAGCACAGCCAGCGUUGAGAAUUACUACCUUGAUUUCACAGUCGUAUUUCCCUGCCCCCAAUGAGCAGGCAACAGUGUUUCUAGGAACUGGUUCUAGUUUUCGAGUCCUCCUGCUUAGAAAGAAGCUGCGUGUGGGAGCUGACCAGAGGGAAGGAGCUGUUAAGGACCUGGGCAGAGAAGCAAAGCCCCAGGAGCCCAAGAUUCAUGCCCAUGCGCUCUUUGUUCAUGCCCUCCCCUGGCCUGCUGGACUUGGCAAAUCAUUAUCUGUUCUUCAAAGCACAUAACCAGCAGCUCAAUCCUCUCCUGAAGACCAGUGAAAGGCGUGUUCCCUUUCCACUCUGUCAGCUGUGCUCCACCGCUCUGAGACACCACGACCGACAUCCUGGACUGAGGCAAGGCCCCCUUCCCCGGCCUCAGAGCGCUCCAGCAGAGGGCUGCCCGUGCUUGCUCAGCUGGCACGCUGACUCACUCCCGACAGUGUAGUACCAGACAAACUGGAAUCUGUCCACCCUUUGUGGCCUGACAUCAUCCCACAAUUAGCCGGUUUGAAUCCAGCCACACUGAGAAGAUACUAGAAAAGCAGCCCCUCGUCGUCCAGUUGUCUCGUUCACAAAGCCCUGGGACUUCAGGGCCCUCUGGGGAGAUCGAGAGCCAUCUCACAGAGGAGCUGACUGUGAGGGUCUUUACUCCGGAGCUUUCUUCCCCAACUUGUUUCUCUGAAAAACUUCGAACCUACAGGAAAGUUGAGAGAAUAAUACAAUGACCAUGCCUCUACUAGUCACCUAGAUUCACCAACUGCUCCCAUUUCAUCACAUUUGCUUUAUCUCUUUCCCUCCGCUUACAUAUCCACCUGAAAAAUAUAUACUUUUUUCCUGUCGAACCAUUUAAAAUAAAAGUUGCCAAAUCAUGAUGCUUCUGUG